GACGAACGCUGGCGGCGUGCUUAACACAUGCAAGUCGAACGGAAAGGCCCUGCUUUUGUGGGGUGCUCGAGUGGCGAACGGGUGAGUAACACGUGAGUAACCUGCCCUUGACUUUGGGAUAACUUCAGGAAACUGGGGCUAAUACCGGAUAGGAGCUCCUGCUGCAUGGUGGGGGUUGGAAAGUUUCGGCGGUUGGGGAUGGACUCGCGGCUUAUCAGCUUGUUGGUGGGGUAGUGGCUUACCAAGGCUUUGACGGGUAGCCGGCCUGAGAGGGUGACCGGCCACAUUGGGACUGAGAUACGGCCCAUACUCCUACGGGAGGCAGCAGUGGGGAAUAUUGCACAAUGGGCGGAAGCCUGAUGCAGCAACGCCGCGUGCGGGAUGACGGCCUUCGGGUUGUAAACCGCGUGCGCCUGUGACGAAGCGUGAGUGACGGUAAUGGGUAAAGAAGCACCGGCUAACUACGUG
rnacentral:rRNA from 1 species